CAAGAGGAUUUUCAUUSCAUUAUUCUGGAUAUUUCGCGGUACUUUCAUUGUGCCACGCAUUCUCCAGAGAUUUUACUUUGAGGAAAUUAGAGUGUUUCAAGCAGGCUUGAGGCUUUGAAUAUGAUAGCAUGGAAUAAUAUUGUAAGGCUUUGGCUUUAUUUUGUUGGUUUCUAGAGCCGAGGUAAUGAUUAAUAGGGACAGUCGGGGCAUUCGUACUUAACUGUCAGAGGUGAAAUUCUUGGAUUUGUUUAAGACGAACUACUGCGAAAGCAUUUGCCAAGGAUGUUUUCAUUGAUCAAGAACGAAAGUUAGGGGAUCGAAGACGAUCAGAUACCGUCCUAGUCUUAACCAUAAACUAUGCCAACUGGAGAUCGGCGGUUGUUCUUCAUGACACUGCCGGCAUCUUAUGAGAAAUCAAAGUCUUUGGGUUCCGGGGGGAGUAUGGUCGCAAGGCUGAAACUUAAAGGAAUUGACGGAAGGGCACCACCAGGAGUGGAGCCUGCGGCUUAAUUUGAGUCAACACGGGAAGACUCACCAGGUCCAGACAU
rnacentral:rRNA from 1 species